rnacentral:rRNA from 1 species
AUUGAACGCUGGCGGCAGGCCUAACCCAUGCAAGUCGAGCGAGCGGCGGACGGGUGAGUAAUUUAUGGGGAUCUGCCCGAUAGAGGGGGAUAACUACUGGAAACGGUGGCUAAUACCGAAUAAUAGCGGAUGAACCCAUCUGGGAUUAGCUAGUAGGUGGGGGAAAGGCUCACCGAGGCGACGAUCCCUAGCUGGUCUGAGAGGAUGAUCGGCCACACUGGGACUGAGACACGGCCCAGACUCCUACGGGAGGCAGCAGUGGGGAAUCUUGCACAAUGGGCGCAAGCCUGAUGCAGCCAUGCCUCGUGUAUGAAGAAGGCCUUAGGGUUGUAAAGUACUUUCAGCGGGGAGGCGUUACCCGCAGAAGAAGCACCGGCUAACUCCGUGCCAGCCGCCGCGGUAAUUC